rnacentral:rRNA from 1 species
AACGGUAGGGUCGUCGUCGACUAGGCGGUCGUCGUCGUACGGCUCGUGUCGUGAGAUGUUGGGUUAAGUCCCGCAACGAGCGCAACCCUUAUCCCUAGUUGCCAUCAGGUAAAGCUGGGAACUCUGGGGAGACUGCCGGUGAUAAACCGGAGGAAGGCGGGGAUGACGUCAAGUCCUCAUGGCCCUUACAUCCCGGGCUACACACGUGCUACAAUGGCAGGUACAGAGGGCUGCGAAGCCGCGAGGUGGAGCGAAUCCCAGAAAACCUGUCUCAGUCCGGAUUGAAGUCUGCAACUCGACUUCAUGAAGGCGGAAUCGCUAGUAACCGCGAAUCAGCAGGUCGCGGUGAAUACGUUCCCGGGCCUU